rnacentral:Y_RNA from 20 species
AUGGCGAAUGCAUGGGGAACUACAUCUGUGUCGCGAGUUCGAUUCUCGCCAGGGCCUGGUCCUGUAGCUCAGUUGGUAGAGCAAGCUGUUCCCCGGACACUUGUCGUCAUGAC